AUUGAACGCUGGCGGAAUGCUUUACACAUGCAAGUCGAGCGGCAGCGCGGGGGCAACCCUGGCGGCGAGCGGCGAACGGGUGAGUAACAUAUCGGAACGUACCCCGUCGUGGGGGAUAACACAGCGAAAGCUGUGCUAAUACCGCAUACGACCUGAGGGUGAAAGCGGGGGAUCGCAAGACCUCGCGCGAUGGGAGCGGCCGAUAUCGGAUUAGCUUGUUGGUGAGGUAAAGGCUCACCAAGGCGACGAUCUGUAGCGGGUCUGAGAGGAUGAUCCGCCACACUGGAACUGAGACACGGUCCAGACUCCUACGGGAGGCAGCAGUGGGGAAUUUUGGACAAUGGGCGCAAGCCUGAUCCAGCCAUGCCGCGUGAGUGAAGAAGGCC
rnacentral:rRNA from 1 species